GAUUUACCCCUUGCAGUGUACUUAUUACACUGUAUUGGAAUCGCUUCUUUUCUCUUUCUCUGUGAAUUUCUUGAGAGCACAGACUACAUUCUGCUUAACUUUUUAUCCCCAGCUUUCAGCACAGUGCCUGGCUGCUUUGGCGUCUCCAAGUACCUGACCUCAGCUCAACCUGUCUUGGGUUUUCUUCUCCUCCCUGACAUUGACAACCCAGCCCUCCUAGGCACAGAGAGAUGGAGCUGAGUGUGGUUUUCCUGAAAUAAAGCUUGCAUUAUGAGAGGGAAUAAACAGUGUCUGAGGCGCAUGGCCCCGGGAGAGGAGGAGAAUGGGACGGUGGUUCAGAUCUGCUGAUGUAGCUGUGGUCAGUCACUGGGGAGAAUAGGCCUGUGGAUUUCUGCUCCUCUGAGAUGGAUCCAUCACUGACUACUGAACUUGUUUUCUCAUUGGCUCAACUUAAGAAGGUUCUAGAGUGAUGAUCUGGAGACUUUAAUAUGGGAUUUAUGAUGGCUAAAGAGCAUUACCUACCCAAGAGGAACCUUUAAUCCAGGGAGGAAGUUAUGAGUUUUUGGUUCAUUUUGUGGUCAACCUCAUUCCUUCUAGUUUUGUCUAUGGCCUAGGCGAGAGAAAAUAAUUGGAAAUGCUAUGAUGAAAAUAAUAGAACGAUUCCUCUUGUUGCUAUGGUGACAAGAAUAAAUUGAAUCCAUUGCUCUGAAAAA
ensembl:lncRNA novel transcript, antisense to C7orf33 and CNTNAP2